rnacentral:rRNA from 1 species
UACGUAAGGUGCGAGCGUUGUUCGGAAUUACUGGGCGUAAAGGGCGCGUAGGCGGCCCACUAAGUCAGACGUGAAAUCCCCCGGCUUAACCUGGGAACUGCGUCUGAUACUGGAGGGCUUGAGUAUGGGAGAGGGAUGUAGAAUUCCAGGUGUAGCGGUGAAAUGCGUAGAUAUCUGGAGGAAUACCGGUGGCGAAGGCGGCAUCCUGGACCAUUACUGACGCUGAGGCGCGAAAGCUAGGGGAGCAAACGGG